CACCGGCAGCCCGAGUGGUGGCCGAUAUUAUUGGGCCUAAAGCGUCCGUAGCUGGCCGCGCAAGUUCGUCGGGAAAUCCACUCGCUUAACGAGUGGGCGUCCGGCGAAAACUGUGCGGCUUGGGACCGGAAGAUCCAAGGGGUACGUCCGGGGUAGGAGUGAAAUCCCGUAAUCCUGGACGGACCACCGAUGUCGAAAGCAUCUUGGAAGGACGGAUCCGACAGUGAGGGACAAAAGCUAUGGUCUCGAACCGG
rnacentral:rRNA from 1 species